rnacentral:tRNA from 3 species
AGGCCCAUAGCCAAGCGGUAAGGCAACGGACUUUGACUCCGUCACUCGUAGGUUCAAAUCCUGCUGGGCCUGCCA